AGAACGCCUUCGGGUUGUAAACUGCUUUUGUCAGGCAAGAAAUCUUCUGGGUUAAUACCUCGGGAGGAUGACGGUACCUGAAGAAUAAGCACCGGCUAACUACGUGCCAGCAGCCGCGGUAAUACGUAGGGUGCGAGCGUUAAUCGGAAUUACUGGGCGUAAAGCGUGCGCAGGCGGCUUUGCAAGACAGAUGUGAAAUCCCCGGGCUCAACCUGGGAACUGCAUUUGUGACUGCAAGGCUAGAGUACGGCAGAGGGGGAUGGAAUUCCGCGUGUAGCAGUGAAAUGCGUAGAUAUGCGGAGGAACACCGAUGGCGAAGGCAAUCCCCUGGGCCUGUACUGACGCUCAUGCACGAAAGCGUGGGGAGCAAACAGGAUUAGAUACCCUGGUAGUCCACGCCCUAAACGAUGUCAACUGGUUGUUGGACGGCUUGCUUGUUCAGUAACGAAGCUAACGCGUGAAGUUGACCGACUGGGGAGUACGGACGCAACGUUGAAACUCCAAGGAAUUGACGGGGGACCGCACAAGCGGUGGCAUGAUGUGGCUAAUACG
rnacentral:rRNA from 1 species